UUAGCAUUCAAGCUAAAAAAAUAGUAUUAUAAGUAUUAUUUCAAAUUCAUUUAUUUAGUACACAGACUCAGUCUGAAUCUUGAAUUCAGUGGCACUGCUCUGGAUUGUUGUCACAUGUUUGCAUUAUAACUUGUUCUACCAGGAUGGUUUAUUACCACUCAGAAUUCCAUAUCAAAGACGUGUCAGUGUUUUCUAUGAAGUGAUUGUCUAAUCACGUUUGGAGGCUAUUAUUUGUUUAGUUUCAUGGUUCACGCUAGAAAAUGGGCUGUAAAUUAACAGCUCUAAUCUCUUAAAUUGGUCAUUUUCAUGUGAAAAUUGCACCAUUAUAUCAUGUCUAUGCAUUCCUACCAAACAAAACACGACCAAGAAAACAGAUUAUAUAUCCCAUUUGCAUUUUCAAAGCCUUAUGCGUGAAACCAGCCGUGAGAAAUGUUCCUGUGGCAUAAUGGCUGCCGAUUAAUGGCUCCUAAAUGUCAUGCAUGUUUACUCCGACAUGUUUGGAGCCGUUGCUCCCUCCGAGCGCUCUGUCUAGCUAUGAAUGGCAAGUUCCGUCGGAGUUUGAUCAACAACCCGAUGAAGUGAAGCAACAGUGUUGCAAUUUUCAUUAAGUGGCCCGUGCAAUUUUGUGGAACACGAUCAACACGUGCCCCAAAUAUUCAUAGGCAAGCCACUGUGCUCCAGGCGGUCCGAGGCUUGUAUAAAUAUCGCCUUGUUCCCUUCAGUGGAUUCUGACAUGCAUAAACACACACUGUGUGCUUAAUUAGACCAAAUGUGUUAUAAUUCCAUAAACAGUGUAGGUAACGAGGAGCCGGUGCGUGUCCGUGCAGCUGUGCAGCAGAAGGAACCAGAAGAACAGGAAGCUGGAGAAGGAGAGAAGUCUACAACACAGCUGGAACGGCAGCUGUCAGCAGGCAGUGCACAAUGCUCGAUCUCACCCUUCAUUCUCCUUUCCCAUGAGCCUUCACACCCACCCCAGUUACACUCAGCUCUGACCUGCCACCACGUAGAAGAAGAGAGAGAAACGUUGCACCUCAUCACUGAACGCGGUCUCCUGGAACCAGAAAUGAGCUGUUGACACACCUGGGUGAGAGUUUGCCGAAAAACAGUAGGUAAUUUGCUUUGGAAUUUUAACAGAGGCUGUGUGAGGAAAAACGCAGACUUGGCAGAUUUGGAUGGGAUUCAAAUAGCAAGGUUUUUCAAGAUAGUGGGAGCAGUUAAUUGUGAUGUACAUCCAAGUGUAACAUCAGAAGAAGAAAAAAUGAUUGUUGAUUGAAUUUUAUGUCUGUAGUUUUCACCAGAAGUUGUAAAAUAUGUACACACGUGCCACGGAUUGUUUUGUUCAUGUUUAAGUUUUGGUAGUUAAGUAGGUAAGGUGUAUAUUUUCGCAUGUGUGCACUGCAGCCCGGGUCUGAGGCCAUAUAUUUUACUGAGAAAAUGAGCUCUCAUCUGUGUCUAGUGAUUCUCCUCAUAAAUAAGCAAAGGGAUGAUUCACCCUUUGCCUGCUCUGUGCAUGUUAAUAAUACAUUGUUAUUUUGGGCCAGUUUGUUACCACCAUGGCUGGCCAAUUUCUUUUUGUUUGCUAAGAACACCUUUUCCUUUGAUGAAGACGACAGCGGUUGAUUACCAUGGAUAUAAUCAUUUACAAUUAUGGCAUGAGCUCAAUGAGAAGUGUGUAUUACUUGACAAGACUUUUGUGUCUUUGUUUAUACAAAAUAAUGUUAUAUUAUGAACAUGUUGCCCUUGGUAUGCUGUAUUCUUUUAACAAUGUGUGAGAUGUUAAAACAAAUUUAAUAUUGUAAAGUUUCCUUCAGAAACACUCUGCCAUAAUGCUAGGAAGUUUACAGUUAGAGGUUUCUUCAAGUCCGUAACUCUAAGAAGGUGCAACAGUAACGAUGUUUGCCAUAGUAAACACCACUAAAAAUGAACAGCUUGUUGUUAUUUAAAAUCCUUGCUGUAUUUACUGCAGGCAUAAAAAUCAAACAUGCCGAUGCUUGUGAUUUAUACGUUUCUACAUCUCAUGAAAACAGCUGAUUGCUUUUCUGUUUGAUCAUCCAAUGAACUCCUG